CAAUCAUUGUAAACGUCCUUAUGGUUGGCUAACACUUCCAUCCAUCAAAACUGUGCUGGCUAGGCAUUGGCUGGCUUCAAACACCCCAAUUCUGAUGGGCGCAGAUUGACACCUCGCUGAACCAGUCAUUGACUCGCUGUCUGUCCAGGGUUAUAACAUCGCCUGUGAUUGAAGGAGAGAGACGAGGGAGGGCUCUUUUUACUCGGAAGAAGCUAUUCUACCUGAUAUAGACGGUGUUUGAAAGCUGGAACACGAAUUAGAAUCGAUAAAACGGACGCUAUCGAUAACUAUAACUCUAAUCGCUCAUGUAAACAAAGGAGGACCUUUCGUUUUUUCCCCUAUUUUUUCGUUGUUUUGGAUUAAAAAGUGGGAUGCAUUUUGAAGAGUGGACCCUUCUCUUGAAAUGUAUGCUGGUGUUUCUUGGAUUAGUCCGAGCUGUCCAGAGCUAUAGGCGAUGAAACAUCCAGCCCGUUUUCAGUCCAGAUGGUGGAUCAGCACCUAGAGAAGACCACAGCAGCUCUGAAUGUCAGUGGAGACCAUGCCAAGUAGAUGUGCCCUACAGACAGAUCCCCUGCGAAGACCUUGUCACCUAGACAGCCAUCAGCACAACUGAACUGAGUUGGACAAACACAUCGCUGUAUCAACGAUGAACUGACUUUAACUGAGAAACUGACUGUUUACUAUUGUCCUCAUUUUAGAGCUGCUUUACAGCUGAAUUGAACUUUGUUUGCAUUAUUGACACACUAUUUCAGUAUACACUGUGAAGCUAUUUGGACACAACCUGUAUUGUAUAAAGCGCUAUAUAAAUGGUGACCUCACUUGACUUGACAGACCUCUGUUUUAAAACUGUACAUUUCUGCAAUAUGAUCAUUACAUCGACAGUCAUUUCUGACAUAGAAAAUGCAUUUUAUAUAAAGCUGCUUUGAAGCGAUGUAUUGUUAAAAGUGUUUGUUUGUUUGUUUGUUUGUGUGUAUGAUUUUGCUUCAACACCUAACUAGCAAGCACACUCGGGCCGAUUCUGGCAGAAAUGCGGCACUGUCGGUUCAGUCACGACGUCGGUGAGAAGAUAAUGGGCCAGAGCCGCGCCGACUCUACAAAACACUUCUGGCUGACAGACGCUUUUUCUCUCUGGGCCGAUCUCGGCUGAAAGCUGUUGUACGUGCGGCAGGUCCACACUCGGUGUAGUUGUGUGUAUGUACUUUCGGCCCGAGCUGGUUUUGUCUCCGGCGGCCGCUGCUAGAAUGAAGGAACUCAGCCGUUGAGAGAGAGAUUUGGCGGUUAAUCCUGAGGAGAUUUCGGCGGGCACAGUUCUCAAGAGGAAUACUUCAGCUGCAAAAAGGUAAGUUAAGUUAUUUAAUUAUCAAUCUAGUGUUGUUUGAUAUUUAAAUGCCACGAAGAGUAUAGUUUUUAGAUGGUUUCUGUUAGGUUUGCGAUGAUAACAGCGUUAAAAAUCAUUCGGUCCUGGAUAUAUUGAGUGUUGAUGAGUAACGUUAGGCCUAACUGUCAGGCGCGGUCUCUUUAGGAAAACAAUAUGUAAUUUUUUUAAUAUGAAAAACCGAUGAGCUGUAUCCAGUGCACGAUCAUGUUAGGUAAUUAAAUUUUAAUGAGUUAAAUUCUAUUUUGUUUGCUAGAAUUCAUUCGAUUCGUCUUUUUCAACGAGUGAUUGCUAUUGAAUCAAAGGAGUCGGACCGCGCUGGUGGCGCCAUAAACAUACGAGUGACUCUGUCUGAUUCGAUUCACUUAACCAUUCAAAUGAGUCAUUUUUGUGAAUCAAACUGAGCACGCUGUUGUAGCAUUACACCUGCUAAGACAAUAUAAUAUGUGCAAUCUGAAUUUAAUAAUAAUAUUUAUUUUGUGGUAACACUGCCGUGUGGGAAGCUCUAACAGAGAAAAACACUACAGAUACGUAAGAGGGAGCCGUAAAAUGUAAGUGCAUCAUCUUUUGUUCCUGAAUGGAGGCCUAAUCUGUCUGCUGCACUUGAGCAGGUUCAGUUUUUAGAGUGAAUGAAAACUUUUGAAGCAUAUAUAUGCCGUAUGUUGUGAUUUAAAAAUCAUACUUAUUUUACUCUGGUGGGGAUUAUUAUGAGCAAACAAAUUUAAAAGUUUAAUCUGAACACUAUAUAUAUGUAAUCUGACAUUUAUUCAUUUAAUUUUUUUACAGAAAUUCUGAGCUGCUGCAUGAACAUUCAUCAAACAUAUAAGGCUGCAAUUUGGAAAACUUUCAAGCUAAUGCUGCUGCAAUGGAGUUCAAGGGGACUAAGAGGUGGCUCCAGCAGAUCAGAAGUGAGGACUUCAGGAGGCAGACACACUCUGUUACAGUAAUCAGCUGAUCCAGUCGGUAUCCAGACCAGACGGUGGACCUGCACCAGGAGCGACCACAACACAUCCCUGACUGUCAGCGGAGACCAUGUCAGCUAGAUGACAGAUCCCUGUGAAGACCUCACUGAUGGCCCCAGCACAGAUCCUCAGCAAAGACUACGAGAACCAGACAAGCCCUCUACGCAGACCCUUUUUACCAGCUUCACCUGCUAGCGUGAUAUUACUUCAUGCAGAAGAAGUUGGAUGAAAUAUUCUGAAUGAUAUCAAUCCACAAUCUGGCUUGUGAUGCAGCCUGGAAUAAUCACACCACGUUCAUUCGUUUGGCCAGAAGAGACUGUUUCUGACUGAGCCGGGUCUUGUUUGGGUUCCUUGUCACUGUUGCCUUUUGUCUUGCUUGGUUGAAGACACCUAAUAUUCAGCAAUAUUAUUGACUUGUCUGCACUGACACCAUUUGAUAAGAAUUGAACUGAAUUAUGACACACAAUGUUUUAUAUAUGAAUAGUUUAUUUGCAAAAACGGAUAACUCCGUUUUUAAAUAUUUUUAAAAAUCAUGUUUUUGUUUUGUGUUAGUUAGCUAGUAUUUAUUAGUUAUUCUUUACUUAAUCAAAAUAACCUGAAUGCAGUUUGAUUGAGAUUAAUUGGAAUACACAAUGAAAAAACAUGAUUUUUUAAAAUUGUUAAAAACGAAGUUAUCUGUUUCUGCAAAUGAACUCUUCAUAUAUAUAAAAUAUGCAGUAAAUAUAAUUUACUUGUUACUUUGUGGUUUAAAAAGUGUGAAUGUUUAUACUGUAUUGCAUUUGUUCAUAUAUAUUUAAAGUAUUUGGUAAUUUUAUAAUUAAAGCCUUUUUAAUGUUUUUAAAUGGUUGUAUUGAGUUUCUGGGCCACAUUCGGCCCGGGGACCAAGCCGAGUCUCAGCCAGAUCUGGCUUAGAGUGUCUGGGCCAGACCUGGGCCACAUAAAAAAAUAGAAGUCACUCUACAGUAUGCGGGCCAGAUCUGGGCCACGUCAAUAAAUAAGAGUCAUUUUACGGGGCGUGGGCCGCAUCUGGGCCAGAGGAAAUUGAGUCGGUUUUCAGUGUGUGUGCCAGUUUUGGGCCGGGGACCCAGCCAGAACUGUGCCAGAAGUGAAGCAAGGUUGUGGCCCAGAGGUGGGCCAGACAAAUUUUGCUAUCUGGGCAUCCCCAGUUAACACGAUCCCCAGUUGAUCUAUAACACCGCCCCCACUGGAUCCCCCAACAUCAUUGGGCUAGAGGACUGUCAUUCUGACGAUGCCUGUAUGACAUUGGAUCAGAUCGCUGUCAAUUGCUGCCUCUGAUUGUUGCAUGCAAAGCUUGCGUUUGGAUUUGAAGCGCUCAACAAUGCCAUUAGAUCAAUGCGUUCUUCUCAGUGUUUUGGCAAGGUAAGGCUUUUUUUUUUUUUUUUUUUUUUAAAGUUCAAAGUCCAAUUUAAAAAAUUGGUACAUAAAAAGUGCACAAAAUCAGUAUUUUGUUUAGGCAGUAUUUGUGGCAUUCGAGAAAUCAUGUUUCAUGUGAAACUGGUCUAAAAGGUGUGCAUUUUUGCGCCAAUGCAUAGUUAAAGUUUCAGUGUGUCAUGUAAUAUUCCCAUAUAAAACUUUUACAGCCAAUUAAAAAAUAUUGGUAUAGUAGAAUUCGCUAAUACACAAGAUCAAUACAUACUUUAUUAAACCGCUUUGUCAAAUUUAACGCAUCUUUAUACGGAAGUGUCGAAAUGCUGAAUCAAUUAUUUCCCUUCCAAAAAAAAAAAAAAGGUCUUGAUCUUGUUUGGGUGUGGGAGUUGGAUGGGGGGGCGCUAAUAGGGAUUUCGCCUAGGGCGUCAAAAUAGCUAGACACGGCCCUGCUUGAGAAUAUAUGUGACUGAGGUCUUCAGUUAU